rnacentral:rRNA from 1 species
UACGGGGGGGGCAAGCGUUGUUCGGAAUUACUGGGCGUAAAGGGCUCGUAGGUGGCCAACUAAGUCGGACGUGAAAUCCCUCGGCUUAACCGGGGAACUGCGUCUGAUACUGGAUGGCUUGAGUUCGGGAGAGGGAUGCGGAAUUCCAGGUGUAGCGGUGAAAUGCGUAGAUAUCAGGAGGAACACCGGUGGUGUAGACGGCUUUCUGGACCGUAACUGACGCUGAGACACGAAAGCGUGGGUAGCAAACAGG